CCCUUAGAUGUUCUGGGCCGCACGCGCGCUACACUGAAGGGAUCAGCGUGCUUUCCCUUCCCGAGAGGGACGGGUAACCCGCUGAACCCCCUUCGUGGUAGGGAUCGGAGCUUGCAAUUGUUCUCCGUGAACCAGGAAUUCCCAGUAAGCGCAAGUCAUAAGCUUGCGUUGAUUACGUCCCUGCCCUUUGUACACACCGCCCGUCGCUACUACCGAUUGAACGUUUUAGUGAGGUAUUUGGACUGGGCCUUGGGAGGUUUCGGCCUCCCUUGUUGCUCGGAAAGACUCCCAAACUUGAGCGUUUAGAGGAAGUAAAAGUCGUAACA
rnacentral:rRNA from 1 species